UCGAGAAUCUUUCACAAUGGGGGCAACCCUGAUGGAGCGACGCCGCGUGAGGAUAAGGUCUUCGGAUUGUAAACUCCUGUCAUGCGAGAGCAAGACUUGCCGGGUAACUCCUGCAAGUUUGAUAGUAUCGCAAGAGGAAGAGACGGCUAACUCUGUGCCAGCAGCCGCGGUAAUACAGAGGUCUCAAGCGUUGUUCGGAAUCACUGGGCGUAAGGGGUGCGUAGGUGGCGUGGAAAGUCAGAUGUGAAAUCCGGAGGCUCAACCUCCGAAUUGCAUCCGAUACUCCCAUGCUAGAGAACUGGAGGGGAGUCUGGAAUUCUCGGUGUAGCAGUGAAAUGCGUAGAUAUCGAGAGGAACACUAGUGGCGAAGGCGAGACUCUGGACAGUUUCUGACACUGAUGCACGAAGGUCAGGGGAGCAAACGGGAUUAGAUACCCCCGUAGUCCCUGAGCGGGCUGGCAAGGCGCAU
rnacentral:rRNA from 1 species